GAAUUGCAAAUUCAGUGAAUCAUCGAGUCUUUGAACGCACAUUGCGCCCCCUGGUAUUCCGGGGGGCAUGCCUGUCCGAGCGUCAUUU
rnacentral:rRNA from 1 species